rfam:Anopheles minimus strain MINIMTS1 unplaced genomic scaffold supercont1.265, whole genome shotgun sequence.
CCAUCGGCUCUUUUCAGAGCCACCGAACAAGUUAUAAAAGAAUUUCG